AGUGAACGCUGGCGGUAGGCCUAACACAUGCAAGUCGAACGGCAGCACAGGAGAGCUUGCUCUCUAGGUGGCGAGUGGCGGACGGGUGAGGAAUACAUCGGAAUCUGCCCAGUCGUGGGGGAUAACGUAGGGAAACUUACGCUAAUACCGCAUACGACCUUCGGGUGAAUGAGGGGGAUCGCAAGACCUCUCGCGAUUGGAUGAGCCGAUGUGGGAUUAGCUAGUUAGCGGGGUAAUGGCCCACCAAGGCGACGAUCCGUAGCUGGUCUGAGAGGAUGAUCAGCCACACUGGAACGGAGACACGGUCCAGACUCCUACGGGAGGAAGCAGUGGGGAAUAUUGGACAAUGGGCGCAAGCCUGAUCCAGCCAUACCGCGUGGGUGAAGAAGGCCUUCGGGUUGUAAAGCCCUUUUGUUGGGAAAGAAAUCUUUCAGGCUAAUACCCUGGGAGGAUGACGGUACCCAAAGAAUAAGCACCGGCUAACUUCGUG
rnacentral:rRNA from 1 species